CAAUACACUGACCAGCUCAUAAAAGUCUUCAAGAAAAAAGGAGGCGUUGCAGGGAAGAAAAUUAGACAAACUUUGGCCCCAGCCACACAGAAGGAAACUAUUGAAAAGGGGAGGGAGUGUGUCCUCAGGGCACUACCUUUUUACCUGAAUGAAGACCCAAGCAUCCUCUUCAAAGAAUAAUUGCUACAGCUGUUCAGAGGGAGCUGGAACAAAUUACCCUUGCUAUCUUUACCAUCAAAAGAGCUGAUGCCAGCACUCCUCCAGCCGAUGUGGGUAUAACCAUCUAGUGUGUCCUGCAUGACCUGGAAGACCUGGCCUCUGCAUGUGCACUCUUAAUGGGUGGGAUAUACAGUGGGGCAAAAAAGUAUUUAGUCAGCCACCGAUUGUGCAAGUUCCCCCACUGUCAGCAGACUCUUGACCAAGGUACAGUUGCUCAAGAAUAAACUGAAUGAAUAAGCCAACCCUUAAUUUGGAUGAUGAAUGUUCUGUCAGAUGGACAGAAGUUUUUCGGAGGCUGAAUGGGAAUAAAAUGGUAAU